GACGAACGCUGGCGGCGUGCUUAACACAUGCAAGUCGAACGGAAAGGCCCUGCUUGCAGGGUACUCGAGUGGCGAACGGGUGAGUAACACGUGGGUGAUCUGCCCUGCACUUCGGGAUAAGCCUGGGAAACUGGGUCUAAUACCGGAUAGGAGCCAUUUUUAGUGUGAUGGUUGGAAAGUUUUUUCGGUGUAGGAUGAGCUCGCGGCCUAUCAGCUUGUUGGUGGGGUAAUGGCCUACCAAGGCGGCGACGGGUAGCCGGCCUGAGAGGGUGGACGGCCACAUUGGGACUGAGAUACGGCCCAGACUCCUACGGGAGGAAGCAGUGGGGAAUAUUGCACAAUGGGCGCAAGCCUGAUGCAGCGACGCCGCGUGGGGGAUGACGGCCUUCGGGUUGGAAACUCCUUUCGCUAGGGACGAAGCUUUUUGUGACGGUACCUAGAGAAGAAGCACCGGCUAACUACGUG
rnacentral:rRNA from 1 species